UUCCGGUUGAUCCUGCCAGACCUGACUGCUAUCGGAUUGAUACUAAGCCAUGCGAGUCAUUGUAGCAAUACAAGGCAGACGGCUCAGUAACGCGUAGUCAACCUAACCUAUGGACGGGAAUAACCUCGGGAAACUGAGAAUAAUGCCCGAUAGAACACUAUAUCUGGAAUGGUUUGUGUUCCAAAUGAUUUAUCGCCGUAGGAUGGGACUGCGGCCUAUCAGUUUGUUGGUGAGGUAAUGGCCCACCAAGACUAUUACAGGUACGGGCUCUGAGAGGAGUAGCCCGGAGAUGGGUACUGAGACACGGACCCAGGCCCUAUGGGGCGCAGCAGGCGAGAAAACUUUGCAAUGUGCGAAAGCACGACAAGGUUAAUCCGAGUGGUUUGUGCUAAACGAACCUUUUGUCGGUCCUAGAAACACCGAUGAAUAAGGGGUGGGCAAGUUCUGGUGUCAGCCGCCGCGGUAAAACCAGCACCUCAAGUGGUCAGGAUGAUUAUUGGGCCUAAAGCAUCCGUAGCCGGCGCUAUAAGUUUUCGGUUAAAUCUGUACGCUCAACGUACAGGCUGCCGGGAAUACUGUAGCGCUAGGGAGUGGGAGAGGUAGACGGUACUCGGUAGGAAGGGGUAAAAUCCUUUGAUCUAUUGAUGACCACCUGUGGCGAAGGCGGUCUACCAGAACACGUCCGACGGUGAGGGAUGAAAGCUGGGGGAGCAAACCGGAUUAGAUACCCGGGUAGUCCCAGCUGUAAACUAUGCAAACUCAGUGAUGCAUUGGCUUGUGGCCAAUGCAGUGCUGCAGGGAAGCCGUUAAGUUUGCCGCCUGGGAAGUACGUACGCAAGUAUGAAACUUAAAGGAAUUGGCGGGGGAGCACCACAAGGGGUGAAGCCUGCGGUUCAAUUGGAUUCAACGCCGGA
rnacentral:rRNA from 2 species